GGAAUAUUGGACAAUGGGCGCAAGCCUGAUCCAGCCAUGCCGCGUGAGUGAUGAAGGCCUUCGGGUUGUAAAGCUCUUUCAGCGGGGACGAUAAUGACGGUACCCGCAGACGCAGCCCCGGCCAACUUCGUGCCAGCAGCCGCGGUACUACGAAGGGGGCUAGCGUUGCUCGGCAUCACUGGGCGUAAAGCGCACGUAGGUGGGUCGCUGAGUCGGGGGUGAAAGCCUGGAGCUCAACUCCAGAACUGCCUUCGAUACUGGCGAUCUUCGAGUCCGGGAGAGGUGGGUGGAACUGCGAGUGUAGAGGUGAAAUUCGUAGAUAUUCGCAAGAACACCAGUGGCGAAGGCGGCUCACUGGCCCGGUACUGACACUGAGGUGCGAAAGCGUGGGGAGCAAAC
rnacentral:rRNA from 1 species